GGUCCCACCAGAGGCCGCGCGAUUCGCACGACAGCACGCGCGCGUCGAGGUCGAUAACACACCACGCCGCACUUGCCCGGCUGUCGCCGGCUCUCUCGCGCGUUGGCGUCGGUCUCUGUGCGUCGCUGUCGUCGCCGGUGUUGUUGUCAUUGUCGUGCACGAUGGCGAUGGCGCGCGGCACGGCUACCAUCGGCUGCCACAGGGCCGCCAGUUCCUGGACCAUGGACGUCGCGCCGCGCAACUGCGCGGGGCCGGCGUCGGUGGCAUCUUCCGGCGCGUCGGCGAGCCCGACGGCUCUGGCGACGCGCUCCAUGGCGAUCGUGAUGGCCUUUAUCAUAUAGUCACCCCGACAAGCGAGAU
rnacentral:lncRNA from 1 species